CUACGGGAUGCUCCAGUGAGGAAUAUUGCGCAAUGGGCGAAAGCCUGACGCAGCGACGCCGCGUGAAGGAUGAAGGUCUUCGGAUUGUAAACUUCUGUUAAGUGGAAAGAAAGACUUGCUUUUAAUAGAAGCAAGGGAUGACGGUACCAUUAGAGAAAGCACCGGCUAACUUCGUGCCAGCAGCCGGCGGUAAUACGAAGGGUGCAAGCGUUAUUCGGAAUCAUUGGGCGUAAAGGGUGCGUAGGCGGCCUUUCAAGUCUGUUGUUAAAUACCUCGGCCUAACCGAGGAUCGGCAGUGGAGACUGAUUGGCUAGAGUAUGGAAGAGAGAAGUAGAAUUCUCGGAGUAGCGGUAAAAUGCGUAGAUAUCGAGAGGAAUACCAAUGGCGAAGGCAGCUUCUUGGUCCAUAACUGACGCUGAGGCACGAAAGCGUGGGGAGCAAACAGGAUUAGAUACCCGAGUAGUC
rnacentral:rRNA from 1 species